rnacentral:rRNA from 1 species
UACGUAGGGCGCAAGCGUUGUCCGGAAUUAUUGGGCGUAAAGAGCUCGUAGGCGGUCUGUCGCGUCUGGUGUGAAAUCCCAUGGCUCAACUGUGGGCUUGCAUCGGGUACGGGCAGACUAGAGUACUGUAGGGGAGACUGGAAUUCCUGGUGUAGCGGUGGAAUGCGCAGAUAUCAGGAGGAACACCGAUGGCGAAGGCAGGUCUCUGGGCAGUUACUGACGCUGAGGAGCGAAAGCAUGGGGAGCGAACAGGAUUAGAUACCCGUGUAGUCC